AGAGUUUGAUCCUGGCUCAGAUUGAACGCUGGCGGCAGGCCUAACACAUGCAAGUCGAGCGGAUGAGAGGAGCUUGCUCCUGGAUUCAGCGGCGGACGGGUGAGUAAUGCCUAGGAAUCUGCCUGGUAGUGGGGGACAACGUUUCGAAAGGAACGCUAAUACCGCAUACGUCCUACGGGAGAAAGCAGGGGACCUUCGGGCCUUGCGCUAUCAGAUGAGCCUAGGUCGGAUUAGCUAGUUGGUGAGGUAAUGGCUCACCAAGGCGACGAUCCGUAACUGGUCUGAGAGGAUGAUCAGUCACACUGGAACUGAGACACGGUCCAGACUCCUACGGGAGGCAGCAGUGGGGAAUAUUGGACAAUGGGCGAAAGCCUGAUCCAGCCAUGCCGCGUGUGUGAAGAAGGUCUUCGGAUUGUAAAGCACUUUAAGUUGGGAGGAAGGGCAGUAACUUAAUACGUUGCUGUUUUGACGUUACCGACAGAAUAAGCACCGGCUAACUCUGUGCCAGCAGCCGCGGUAAUAC
rnacentral:rRNA from 1 species